rnacentral:misc_RNA from 1 species
GAUGAAGAACGUAGCGAAAUGCGAUAAGUAGUGUGAAUUGCAGAAUUCAGUGAAUCAUCGAAUCUUUGAACGCACAUUGCGCCCCUUGGUAUUCCAUGGGGCAUGCCUGUUCGAGCGUCAUUUGUACCUUCAAGCUUUGCUUGGUGUUGGGUGUUUGUCUCGCCUCUGCGUGUAGACUCGCCUCAAAACAAUUGGCAGCCGGCGUAUUGAUUUCGGAGCGCAGUACAUCUCGCGCUUUGCACUCAUAACGACGACGUCCAAAAGUUCAUUUUUACACUCUUGACCUCGGAUCAGGUAGGGAUACCCGCUGAACUUAAGCAUAUCAAUAAGCGGAGGA